UACGGAGGGUGCGAGCGUUAAUCGGAAUUACUGGGCGUAAAGCGUGCGUAGGCGGUUUGAUAAGUCGGGUGUGAAAGCCCCGGGCUUAACCUGGGAAUUGCAUUCGAUACUGUCUGACUCGAGUCUGGGAGAGGGAAGCGGAAUUCCGGGUGUAGCGGUGAAAUGCGUAGAUAUCCGGAGGAACAUCAGUGGCGAAGGCGGCUUCCUGGACCGACACUGACGCUGAGGCGCGAAAGCUAGGGGAGCAAACGGG
rnacentral:rRNA from 1 species